ensembl:snRNA U6 U6 spliceosomal RNA
GUGCGCUUCAGCAGCACAUAUACUAAAAUUGGAACGGUACAGAAAAGAUUAGCAUAGCCCCU